rnacentral:rRNA from 1 species
AACGAUGUCUACUAGCCGUUGGAGAGCUUGACUCUUUAGUGGCGCAGCUAACGCGAUAAGUAGACCGCCUGGGGAGUACGGCCGCAAGGCUAAAACUCAAAUGAAUUGACGGGGGCCCGCACAAGCGGUGGAGCAUGUGGUUUAAUUCGAUGCAACGCGAAGAACCUUACCUGCCCUUGACAUCCUCGGAAGGAUCCAGAAAUGGGUCUGUGCCUUCGGGAACCGAGAGACAGGUGCUGCAUGGCUGUCGUCAGCUCGUGUCGUGAGAUGUUGGGUUAAGUCCCGUAACGAGCGCAACCCCUAUCCUUAGUUGCCAGCGAGUAAUGUCGGGAACUCUAGGGAGACUGCCGGUGACAAACCGGAGGAAGGUGGGGACGAGGUCAAGUCAUCAUGGCCCUUAUGGGCAGGGCUACACACGUGCUACAAUGGACGGUACAGAGGGCAGCGAAGCGGCGACGUGGAGCAAAUCUCAGAAAACCGUUCGUAGUCCGGAUUGCAGUCUGCAACUCGACUGCAUGAAGUCGGAAUCGCUAGUAAUCGCGGAUCAGAACGCCGCGGUGAAUACGUUCCCGGGCCUUGUACACACCGCCCGUCACACCAUGGGAGUGGGCUGUACCAGAAGUAGGUAGUCUAACCUUCGGGAGGACGCUUACCACGGUGUGGUUCAUGACUGGGGUGAAGUCGUAACAAGGUAACCA